AAGAAGCCCAGGCUAGGGAACAGAAGAGGGAGGCUGAGAGAACAGAUAUCAGGCAGAUGAACCUGUAGGAGGUAUGGAAGGCUAUUUUGCACGAGGGACACAAUAGUGAUCAGAACUCAGCAGCAGUGAAGGGACAUGUUGUUUGGGGCAGCUGGUGCACAAUGGGUUAAGUCCAAGAAUGUGAAGCCAACUUCAGUGAUGUUGGUUUCCAUGUAUGCCUUCUAUAAUAGAUAAUAUUGAAGGGUAUAUUUGCUUCUGUCUUUUGCAUACAAGCCUCUUCCACACUUCUUGGGACAAAGCCCUUCUCACCUCCUAUCAAUACUGCAGCUUGUCAAGAACUUUUUGGAUCUUGACUCCAAAGUGUUCACUAUCAUUCCCAGCUCUGUUAUCUAUACAUUUGCUUUGUUGUCGCUCAAUUGGGAGUAUUACACCAGUAAGGAUCUAAAGAGCAAGGGAAAAGCAUGUAGCAAGGACUCUAAAGACCACUUGUUAUGUCAGGCCAUCUGCACCAUGACUCAUUUUAAAGGCUGUCUUCAUUGCUGGGUGGCUUCUGGGUACCUGAGUGUUAGAACUGGUUGCUUCAUGGAGGUACAGGAGUUCUGAUGAAGUCUGAAGACAGUAGAAUGGAACCCAUGUUUGCUCCCGAAUGGAAGCCCUUUUACUGAGGGGGUAAUCCUCCUUUUGCCCCACCAUCCAACCCCUCAAGGAAUAUACUUGGAUUCCUGUGUCCUGACUGAAAAAAAUAAAAACACUGUUCAC